GAUUGNAGCUGGAAUGANUGAUUGGACGAGANGNACCUGUCUCUACUAAAAUUUUUUUUGAAUUUAACUUUUAAGUAAAAAGGCUUAAAUUUUUCUUAAAGACGAGAAGACCCUAUAGAGUUUUACAUUUAUUUUUGUUGAAAGUUUUUGGUAUUAGUUGUUUUUACUUAAUUAAAUGUUUGGUUGGGGUGACUAAAAGAUUUAAUGAACUCUUUUAAGCUUUUGUUACUGAUUAGUAAUGUUUUAAACCUGGAUUUUCCAAGUUUAAUAUAAAUUACCUUAGGGAUAACAGCGUAAUUUCUCUUUAGAGUUCUUAUUGGAAGGGGAGUUUGCGACCUCNAUGUUGAUUUAAAUUGCCGCGGUAUG
rnacentral:rRNA from 1 species